GAUGAACGCUGGCGGCGUGCCUAAUACAUGCAAGUCGAGCGAACAGACGAGGAGCUUGCUCCUCUGACGUUAGCGGCGGACGGGUGAGUAACACGUGGAUAACCUACCUAUAAGACUGGGAUAACUUCGGGAAACCGGAGCUAAUACCGGAUAACAUGUUGAACCGCAUGGUUCAACAGUGAAAGACGGUUUUGCUGUCACUUAUCGAUGGAUCCGCGUCGCAUUAGCUAGUUGGUAAGGUAACGGCUUACCAAGGCAACGAUGCGUAGCCGACCUGGGAGGGGGAUCGGCCACACUGGAACUGAGACACGGUCCAGACUCCUACGGGAGGCAGCAGUAGGGAAUCUUCCGCAAUGGGCGAAAGCCUGACGGAGCAACGCCGCGUGAGUGAAGAAGGUCUUCGGAUCGUAAAACUCUGUUAUUAGGGAAGAACAAAUGUGUAAGUAACUAUGCACGUCUUGACGGUACCUAAUCAGAAAGCCACGGCUAACUACGUG
rnacentral:rRNA from 1 species